rnacentral:rRNA from 1 species
UCAAGAAACUUCCACAAUGGGCGAAAGCCUGAUGGAGCGACGUCGCGUGAUGGACGAAGUGCUUCGGCACGUAAACAUCUUUUAUGUGGGAUGAAAUUAUUGACAGUACCACAUGAAUAAGGGGCUCCUAACUCUGUGCCAGCAGGAGCGGUAAUACAGAGGCCCCAAGCGUUAUCCGGAAUCACUGGGCGUAAAGGGUGUCGAGGCGGUUGUAUUAGUCGUUCGUAAAAUCUACGAGCUUAACUUGUAGGCGGCGAACGAAACGGUACGACUUGAGGUUUGGAGAGGUGCGUGGAACUCACGGUGUAGGGGUGAAAUCCGUUGAUAUCGUGGGGAACACCAAAGGCGAAGGCAGCGCACUGGCCAAAAUCUGACGCUCACACACGAAAGCUAGGGUAGCGAAGAGGAUUAGAUACC